rnacentral:rRNA from 1 species
GCCCGAAAAUCAGUGGCGGUCCAGGGAGACUUUCAAGCGCAGUAAAACUUUCCGCUUUCGAAGGCCUCGCCUGUGGCUUAGCCGUGAAACUCCCCAAAUUUUCAAUGAUUGACCUCGGAUCAGGUAGGGAUACCCGCUGAACUUAAGCAUAUCAAUAAGCGGAGGAAAAGAAACCAACAGGGAUUGCCUUAGUAACGGCGAGUGAAGCGGCAACAGCUCAAAUUUGAAAUCUGGCUCCUUCCGGGGUCCGAGUUGUAAUUUGUAGAGGAUGUUUCGGGCGGAGGGCCGGUCUAAGUCCCUUGGAACGGGGCGUCAUAGAGGGUGAGAAUCCCGUAUGUGACCGGUGACGAAGCCCAUGUGAAACUCCUUCGACGAGUCGAGUUGUUUGGGAAUGCAGCUCAAAAUGGGUGGUAAAUUUCAUCUAAAGCUAAAUACCGGCCAGAGACCGAUAGCGCACAAGUAGAGUGAUCGAAAGAUGAAAAGCACUUUGGAAAGAGAGUCAAAAAGUACGUGAAAUUGUUGAAAGGGAAGCGCUUGCAACCAGACCUGCCCGCGGGUGAUCAACCGUCCUUCUGGGCGGUGCACUCGCCCGUGAUCAGGCCAGCAUCGGUUCGGGCGGCCGGAUAAAGGCCUUGGGAACGUAGCUUCUUUCGGGGAGUGUUAUAGCCCUCGGUGCAAUGCGGCCAGCCUGGACCGAGGACCGCGCUUCGGCUAGGAUGCUGGCGUAAUGGUUGUAAGCGGCC